rnacentral:tRNA from 2 species
UGGGGUAUCGCCAAGCGGUAAGGCACCGGAUUCUGAUUCCGGCAUUCGAGGUUCGAAUCCUCGUACCCCAGCCA